rnacentral:rRNA from 1 species
AGAGUUUGAUCCUGGCUCAGGAUGAACGCUGGCGGCGUGCCUAAUACAUGCAAGUCGAGCGCCUUCACUUUGCUCAUCAGUUUUUACUGGUGGGUGGCGUGAAGGAGCGGCGGACGGCAGAGUAACGCGUAGGAACGUACCCCAAACUGAGGGAUAAGCACCGGAAACGGUGUCUAAUACCGCAUAUUCUCUUCGGAGCAAAGCUACGGCGGUUUGGGAGCGGCCUGCGUAUGAUUAGCUUGUUGGCGGGGUAAUGGCCCACCAAGGCGACGAUCAUUAGCUGGUCUGAGAGGAUGAUCAGCCUGACUGGAACUGAGACACGGUCCAGACUCCUACGGGAGGCAGCAGUGGGGAAUAUUGCACAAUGGGCGCAAGCCUGAUGCAGCAACGCCGCGUGAGGGAUGACGGCCUUCGGGUUGUAAAGCCCUUUUGUUGGGAAAGAAAAGCAGUCGGUUAAUACCCGAUUGUUCUGACGGUACCCAAAGAAUAAGCACCGGCUAACUCUGUGCCAGCCGCCGCGGUAAUAC